UUUAUUGAGAAGGGCCUGCCAUGUACAUAAGGAGUGUCUUUGUGAUCCCGGUCGAUCCCAUGUCCAACUGCUUGGGACCCACUUGUUAUUUAUUUGCCUAAUUUGAUUACAUGCGGAUGUGGCACUAAAUUUGCCAUUGUCAUGAGGCCAAAUAAGUAUAUCUGAAGAGUUGUUCCUGAUUGGAAUAGCUAUGAUAGUCAGCCAAAGUGAUAACAUUUCGGGAGAAAUAGGAUUAGGGAGACACCAAGUACCGUUAGCAAUGAACUCGGAAACCUUCCAAUCUUUGGGAGCCCCAAGAUCUUUUCGUAUUCUGUCGC
rnacentral:lncRNA from 1 species